rnacentral:rRNA from 1 species
AACGAACGCUGGCGGCAUGCCUAACACAUGCAAGUCGAACGAUGCCUUCGGGCGUGGUUGCGCACGGGUACGGAACGCGUGGGAAGCUGCCCUUAGCCGCGGGAUACCAAUUACAUAUGACUGCUAAUACCGGGUAAUGGACUCCUGAGACAUCUUAGGACCCAGAGAUUUAUCGUCCAGUGAUGAAAGCUGGUAGGAUUAAGUAGUUGGAGUGGUAAAGGCCUACCAAGCCGACGAUCCUUAGCUGGUCUGAGAGGAUGGUCAGACACACUUGGACUGAGAAACGGCCGAGACUCCUACGGGAGGCAGCAGUGGGGAAUAUUGGACAACCGGGGGAAUGAUGAUCCAGCAAUGACGGGUGAGCGAUGAAGGCAUUAGGGUUGUAAAGCUAUUUUACCAGGGAUGAUAAUGACAGUACCUGGAGAAUAAGCUCCGGCUAACUCCGUG